rnacentral:rRNA from 1 species
UCAGGAUGAACGCUAGCUACAGGCUUAACACAUGCAAGUCGAGGGGCAGCAUGGGGUAGCAAUACUCAGAUGGCGACCGGCGCACGGGUGAGUAACACGUAUCCAACCUGCCGCUUACUCGGGGAUAGCCUUUCGAAAGAAAGAUUAAUACCCGAUAGGUAUAAAGAGUUCGCAUGUUCUCUUUAUUAAAGAAUUUCGGUAAGCGAUGGGGAUGCGUUCCAUUAGAUAGUUGGCGGGGUAACGGCCCACCAAGUCUACGAUGGAUAGGGGUUCUGAGAGGAAGGUCCCCCACAUUGGAACUGAGACACGGUCCAAACUCCUACGGGAGGCAGCAGUGAGGAAUAUUGGUCAAUGGACGAGAGUCUGAACCAGCCAAAAGUAGCGUGAAGGAUGACUGCCCUAUGGGUUGUAAACUUCUUUUAUAAGGGAAUAAAGUGAGGGACGUGUCCCUUUUUGUAUGUACCUUAUGAAUAAGGAUCGGCUAACUCCGUGCCAGCCGCCGC